rnacentral:rRNA from 1 species
UGGCAUGCUAUAAUGCAGUCGAGCGAAUGGAUUAAGAGCUUGCUCUUAUGAAGUUAGCGGCGGACGGGUGAGUAACACGUGGGUAACCUGCCCAUAAGACUGGGAUAACUCCGGGAAACCGGGGCUAAUACCGGAUAACAUUUUGAACCGCAUGGUUCGAAAUUGAAAGGCGGCUUCGGCUGUCACUUAUGGAUGGACCCGCGUCGCAUUAGCUAGUUGGUGAGGUAACGGCUCACCAAGGCAACGAUGCGUAGCCGACCUGAGAGGGUGAUCGGCCACACUGGGACUGAGACACGGCCCAGACUCCUACGGGAGGCAGCAGUAGGGAAUCUUCCGCAAUGGACGAAAGUCUGACGGAGCAACGCCGCGUGAGUGAUGAAGGCUUUCGGGUCGUAAAACUCUGUUGUUAGGUAUUAACAAGUGCUAGUUGAAAUAAGCUGGCUUCUUGGCGGGAACCUAAACACAAAGCCACGGCUAACUACCGUGCCAGCAGCCGCGGUAAUUACGUAGGUGGGCAGCGUUUAUCGGAAAUUAUUGGGGCGUAAAGCGGGGGGCGGCGGUUUCUUAAUCUUGAGUGAUAAUCCCUGGCUCUUCCUCGGAGGGCGUGUGAAAGGGGGAAAUUUUGGCAAAAAGAGGAAGAACACCUCUAAUGUGACGAUUAUAUUUUAUAGGGGGGAAAGAAAGGUUAUGAAACCGGGUUCUUCCCCCGUUUUCCGGCCCCGUGUGCCUUACACUAAAAAAAGACCCCUAUC